rfam:Dehalococcoides ethenogenes 195, complete genome.
GUAAACUAAAAUUUAGUUGAAUAUAUGACGGGAUAGCUAUGAGUGCAAGACCGGUGCGAAUCCGGCGCAGUACCGCCUACUGUGACCGAGGGGAGACCUUCGGGAGCCAGAACCUCAAAUUCCGUUACCAGGC